UAAUUUUUAAUGGUUGAUAUCUGUCGUUUUCAAGUCUAACGAUGUAGAAGUAUUCAAAUCAGAUGAAAUUUUGAUACAAAAUUCUUUAUACUAUAUACAACAAGAUCAAUAUUUCUGAUCGAAAAUUUUAGUGCUAUAUCACCACUUUUUAUAAGAUUUUUAUAUUCAGCCAUUAAAAAUUAUUGAUUUUGAAUCCUUUCGAUUGCUAGGUAAAUAAUAUCGAAAAAUCGCAAAAAUAAUUUUCUAGAAACUUCAAAUACGCUAGAUCAAGUUUAACGAAGCCGAUCGUCGAUUAGAAAACUCCAUCAUCGAAAACGGCUCAGGAGCUCCGUGCNUUGUUAACAGUGUAUUUCAUGUAUAUUUUUCGGAAUCUUGUAGCCUGUGAAAAACACGUGCACGCACAGAGACGAAGCAAAAUACGAUGUUUCACGUACACAUUCUUCAAAUAAAUUCACAAAAACAAAACAAGAAUAUUCUUAGAAAACGGUUAAAGAAAAAAAAGGAAUGCGACUAUUUUAACUAUCGUUGUCUCGUCUAAAUAAGAGCUUAUUUGUAUCGAAAACACCUUCCAAUUGAUCGGGCAAAGGAAAAUUUUUGGGCCCUUAUUUGUGCUAAAAGUUUAAGAAUGGAAAAGAAAAAAUAUCUUUCGGCGUGGUAUACUAACUACGUAAUUUUCCAAACUCGUUGCAUGAGAUUGCUCUGAGACGUGGAGGGCGGAGAGGUGAGCGGUUGGUGAAAAAGAUAACAGUUUAAUUCAUUUACUCUUAUCCAAUUACAAGCUACUUUGCUAUAUAUAUAUAUAUAUAGAGUCCUGCUACUAUAGUCUUAUGAGUAUAGAGCCUUUUGUACUCAUAAAUUUUUUACCGUUUGAUCUACCCUUUAAUUAUUUUCACCCGUUAAAUUAUACUAUUCACCCACUCAACCCUAGGGGGCCCACUAUCAAUCUAACAAUAACCACUUUCAUCCCAACCGCACAUUUUUUCAUCUGAACGGCCAAAAAGUUAUGAGUACAAAGGACUCUAUACUCAUAUGAGUAAAGUAGCCCCAGCCAAUAUAUAUAUAUAUAUAUAUAUAUAUA
rnacentral:lncRNA from 1 species